CCUACGGGGGGCUGCAGUAGGGAAUAUUGGGCAAUGGUCGGAAGACUGACCCAGCCAUGCCGCGUGCAGGAAGAAGGAUCUCUGAUCUGUAAACUGCUUUAGCAGGGGAAGAAAAUGAGGGUGCGCCCUUAACUGACGGUACCCUGAGAAUAAGCACCGGCUAACUCCGUGCCAGCAGCCGCGGUAAUACGGGGGGUGCAAGCGUUGUCCGGAUUUAUUGGGUUUAAAGGGUGCGCAGGCGGCCCGGUAAGUCAGCGUUAAAAGACAGCCGCUCA
rnacentral:rRNA from 1 species